rnacentral:rRNA from 1 species
UGGCGGUACUGCUUAACACAUGCAAGUCGAGCGAGUAAAAUGACUUCGGUCAUGAGUACAGCGGCGGACGGGUGAGUAAUACAUGGAUAAUCUGCCUUUAGGACCGGGACAACCCAGGGAAACUUGAGCUAAUACCGGAUAAGACCACAGAAUCUUCGGAUUCAGCGGUAAAAGGUGGCUUCGGCUAUCACCUAUUGAUGAGUCCAUGUCCCAUCAGGUAGUUGGUGAGGUAACGGCCCACCAAGCCUAAGACGGGUAGCCGACCUUAGCGGGUGAUCGGCCACACGGGGACUGAGACACGGCCCCGACUCCUACGGGAGGCAGCAGUGGGGAAUAUUGGACAAUGGGCGCAAGCCUGAUCCAGCAAUACCGCGUGAGGGAUGAAGGCCUUCGGGUCGUAAACCUCUGUCAGUUGGAACGAUGGGUUUAAAGGUUAAUACCCCUUAGACUUGACGGUACCUUCAAAGGAAGCCCCGGCUAACUCCGUGCCAGCAGCCGCGGUAAUACGGAGGGGGCAA